AUUGAACGCUGGCGGCAUGCCUUACACAUACAAGUCGAGCGGUAACAGGUCUUCGGAUGCUGACGAGUGGCGAACGGGUGAGUAAUACAUCGGAACGUGCCUAGUAGUGGGGGAUAACUACUCGAAAGAGUGGCUAAUACCGCAUGAGAUCUACGGAUGAAAGCAGGGGAUCGCAAGACCUUGUGCUACUAGAGCGGCCGAUGGCAGAUUAGGUAGUUGGUGGGAUAAAAGCUUACCAAGCCGACGAUCUGUAGCUGGUCUGAGAGGACGAUCAGCCACACUGGGACUGAGACACGGCCCAGACUCCUACGGGAGGCAGCAGUGGGGAAUUUUGGACAAUGGGCGAAAGCCUGAUCCAGCAAUGCCGCGUGCAGGAUGAAGGCCUUCGGGUUGUAAACUGCUUUUGUACGGAACGAAAAGCCCCGGGUUAAUACCCUGGGGUCAUGACGGUACCGUAAGAAUAAGCACCGGCUAACUACGUGCCAGCCGCCGCGGUAA
rnacentral:rRNA from 1 species